rnacentral:rRNA from 1 species
CCUACGGGCGGCUGCAGUGGGGAAUAUUGCACAAUGGGCGAAAGCCUGAUGCAGCGACGCCGCGUGAGCGAAGAAGGCCUUCGGAUCGUAAAGCUCUGUCCGCUGGGAAGAAAGAUGACGGUACCAUUGGAGGAAACCCCGGCUAACUACGCGCCCGCAGCCGCGGUAAUACGUGGGGGGCGCGCGUUGUCCGGGAUGGCUGGGGGUAAAGGGUACGUAGGCGGCUAGAUAAGUAGGAUGUGAAAGGCAGAGGCUUAACCCGUGUAAGCAUUUGAAACUGUCUUACUUGAGUCAAGGAGAGGAAAGUGGAAUUCCUGGUGUAGCGGUGAAAUGCGUAGAUAUCAGGAGGAAUACCAGUGGCGAAGGCGGCUUUCUGGACUGAGACUGACGCUGAGGUACGAAAGCGUGGGGAGCAAACAGGAUUAGAUACCCCUGUAGUC